rnacentral:misc_RNA from 1 species
AACGCACCUUGCGCUCCUUGGUAUUCCGAGGAGCAUGCCUGUUUGAGUGUCAUCGAAAUCUCACAUCGCAGCUUCGAUCCUCGCGUCGGAGCUCGGUUUGGACUGUGUGGGGGUCUGCCGGCGAACGUCGGCUCUCCUCAAAAGCAUUAGCUGCGGGUGCGAGCCUUGCACGGGCACGGCCUCUUCGACGUCAUAAUGAUCGUCGUGGGCUGGAAGUGCGUGGCUCGACCGGACCCGUGCUUCCCGAGUCUUGCGAGUCCGUUUUUCGGGACGGCCGCGCCUCAUCGACGCUUGACCUCAAAUCAGGUAGGACUACCCGCUGAACUUAA